GAUUAAAGAAGGAUUUUAAAGCCUUGAGACAAUUGAGACAUGGAUUGUGUAUGUGUGCCAUUCGUAGGUUGAACGGGCAAGACAAAAAAUUUAGACCAUGAAGAACAAACUACAAGAAAGGGGCAAAGCUGACGCCUAUAAAGGAUUUUUUUCACACGUUUUAGUCUGAUACAGCAACAUACUGCGGUUGAAGCCUAUUCAGGAUGGACUUGGAGACAAAGACAAGAUGACCAGUAUACACGUUAGAAGGACAAUGAUGAAACUCUGUCUGUUAUAUGAAGGAAAUCUAUCUGUUAUUCUGAACAGCUUUGUCUCUUGCUGUUGUCAGUCAGUCUGAUGUUUGGAGCACCUUCACUCUUGGAGACACAGCUGAUUUGGAAUGCUGCAUCACUGUGUAUGACGAUGGCAGGACAAGCCCCAGAUGUUGUCUCUGUAUUUUCACUGCAAUUUUCUUCGGAGAGUUUAACAAAAAGCGUUGCUUUGCUACGAGGGAGAGUGGCACCAGAUUUGUGGAAAAGCUGCAGAUUCCAGGACCCAGCAUGUUUUACAGUAGUCUGUGUCAGAGUCUCCUGGCUAGACUGACUCAGUGACUUUGAACUGUAUAAUACACACGGAGACCUGUGCAGGAGAGUGCAGUGUUUAUUGGUUCAGACAUGGCUCAGGAGAAUCCCAUCCAGGAAUCAUUUACACCCAUGGAGACAGGAGUGAUCAGUGUGAGAAGAAGAGCCCUGAGGCUGGGUCUCCUACACAGAGCUGUGUCUACAACCUCCGCAAGAGGAACCUCAGCCUCUCUGAUGCUGGGACUUACUACUGUGCUGUGGCCUCAUGUGGGGAGAUACUGUUUGGGAACGGGACCAAGCUGGAUGUUGAAGAUGAGAAUCCUGGUCCUUCUCUCCAUCAUAAGAACUGGAGUUUUCUUGUUGUCCUACCAUCAUCAUCAUCUACACAACCAGGAAAUAGAUAAAGCUAAGGCCAAUAUCAAUAGAACGUAUGUUACUUGCUUUCACCAAAUCCCCGUGUAUGCACUUAUUGUAUUAGCAUGAAUAAAUAGC